rnacentral:rRNA from 1 species
AUGCCUUACACAUGCAAGUCGAACGGCAGCACGGGUGCUUGCACCUGGUGGCGAGUGGCGAACGGGUGAGUAAUACAUCGGAACAUGUCCUGUAGUGGGGGAUAGCCCGGCGAAAGCCGGAUUAAUACCGCAUACGAUCUACGGAAGAAAGCGGGGGACCUUCGGGCCUCGCGCUAUAGGGUUGGCCGAUGGCUGAUUAGCUAGUUGGUGGGGUAAAGGCCUACCAAGGCGACGAUCAGUAGCUGGUCUGAGAGGACGACCAGCCACACUGGGACUGAGACACGGCCCAGACUCCUACGGGAGGCAGCAGUGGGGAAUUUUGGACAAUGGGCGAAAGCCUGAUCCAGCAAUGCCGCGUGUGUGAAGAAGGCCUUCGGGUUGUAAAGCACUUUUGUCCGGAAAGAAAUCCUGAGGGCUAAUAUCCUUCGGGGAUGACGGUACCGGAAGAAUAAGCACCGGCUAACUACGUGCCAGCAGCCGCGGUAAUACGUAGGGUGCGAGCGUUAAUCGGAAUUACUGGGCGUAAAGCGUGCGCAGGCGGUUUGCUAAGACCGAUGUGAAAUCCCCGGGCUCAACCUGGGAACUGCAUUGGUGACUGGCAGGCUAGAGUAUGGCAGAGGGGGGUAGAAUUCCACGUGUAGCAGUGAAAUGCGUAGAGAUGUGGAGGAAUACCGAUGGCGAAGGCAGCCCCCUGGGCCAAUACUGACGCUCAUGCACGAAAGC